GGUGCGCACGGGCCCUGUGAGCGAUCGCGGUGGGCUUGGGCUGGUGACGCGUGCGCCGGCCGGCCGCCGAGGGGCUACCGUUCUGCCUCCGACCGGUCGUGUAAAUACUAGGCUUUAGAAUUUCACCAUAUGAAUUUUGGGAGAGAGGAGCACAGUUCAGCCCAUAACUAACACACGACGGAAUGAAGUUGAUAAUAGUGAGACCUUGUUGGUACAAGACUAUGUAACAUAACCUGCGCUUCUCAACAAAGAAUUGCUUUUCUGACUUCUGCACUCAAUAGCAAGACAAAUCUCUCCUCUGCCUUCUCCUUAUCAGACUACUCAACAUGAAGGCAAUAAGAAUGAAGACCUCUAUGUAUAAUAAUUGACUUCCACUUAAUAAAUAAGGUUACUUGGUACACUGGUCGACAAAACCUUGAAAUGUUGAUGUUUAAGGGCUGUUGAUUGCUGGCAGCAAAGAAGUCCAACUGUGCUGGUACCCGAGAUAGCGUCUCCACAUUUUCUUCCAGGAUCAUCACCUUUGUUCUAAAUAGCUCCCACAUAGUGUGAACAGAAGUCAUAUGUUUUAGAUUUUCUGCCUUGGCACCCAGGAAACCAGUAUGAUUGAGUAAACAUAUUAAACUUCCUCUGCAUUUCCAGCCUGAACAGAUGUUGAGUACAAGCUGAUCCACCUACGUUCAACCUGAGAGAGUCCACAUCCACAGACUGUUUCAUUUCCCUUUUUCAAUUUACAUAGAAGCAUAGAUUCUUGCUGGCAUAUACAAAUGCGCCAUUUAAGGCAAUCAAAAAUGGUUCCACAUCUCAUCUGAUUUCCACAAUUGUUGCUGUAACGAUGGACUACUGAGGAGAGAGACAAUUUCUCUGGCACAUCUUCCCACAUUUUAGCAACAUGUUCAUGGAGAGCCAAUAUUCAGUAAUUACAGCCCAAUUCCUCACAAUUUCACAAUUCGCUAACAAUAUGCAUUUUCACAAUGUAAAGCUGAUUUUCCUUUAACCAAAUCAAACAUGAAAAGAUAGCUGCAUGCAAUGGGCAAUCUAGAUCAUUAGAAGAUUGAUGUAAAAUUAGAGGACACUGAGACUGGAAUAGAUUGCAAACUUCAGGGAGCUCAGAAAACUUGUAAACUCUACAUUUUGAGGAAAUAUGUUGUCGAUGCUUUUGCAACUCUAUGCAGUAACUUAACAAAUAAAGCCUUAAAGUAACUUA
rnacentral:lncRNA from 1 species